AGUGAACGCUGGCGGUAGGCCUAACACAUGCAAGUCGAACGGCAGCACAGGAGAGCUUGCUCUCUGGGUGGCGAGUGGCGGACGGGUGCGGAAUACAUCGGAAUCUACUCUGUCGGGGGGGAUGACGGAGGGAAACUUACGCUAAUACCGCAUGCGACCUCCGGGUGAAAGCAGGGCACCUUCGGGCCUUGCGAGAUUGAAUGGGCCGAUGUCGGAUUAGCUAGUUGGCGGGGUAAAGGCCCACCAAGGCGACGAUCCGUAGCUGGUCUGAGGGGAUGAUCAGCCACACUGAAACUGAGAAACGGUCCAGACUCCUACGGGAGGCAGCAGUGGGGAAUAUUGGACAAUGGGCGCAAGCCUGAUCCAGCCAUACCGCGUGGGUGAAGAAGGCCUUCGGGUUGUAAAGCCCUUUUGUUGGGAAAGAAAUCCAGCUGGCUAAUACCCGGUUGGGAUGACGGUACCCAAAGAAUAAGCACCGGCUAACUUCGUGCCAGCCGCCGCCGUAA
rnacentral:rRNA from 1 species